GGUUGAGGUUACCAAAACCGGUUUUCUCCUUGUGAACCAGACCGAGAGAUGGGCUGAGCCAACCCAACCCGUGAUCACCUCUCUUUCCCUUAAAAUCCGUUUCCUCCUCUCUUCUUCUUCUUCUUCUUCUUCACCCUCUGUUAUCUCUCUCAUUCCCUCUCUCGGCUAUUCUUGAAAUAGUGAGCGUGUUCGAACAUAAACGAAGCCCCUGCAACCUUUGGUUCCACUUCUUCAAUCUCUGUUCUCUCUCCUACGCAUCGAUAUCGCUCUCUCUCAGUUGCCUCGAAUUAGAGAGAGAUUUCGAACUUCAACGAAGCUCCCUACUAGUUCUCGCGCACACUGGUUCGAUCACCCUAAGCAAAGGAGAAGAGGAGCAGAGGAACUCUGGUCUUGUUGUUUUCCCCUGCAAUCAUUCUCCCUUUACAAGAGAAAUGGAUGCACAACAACGGAUGUGUAGCUGUGGAGAGGUGAUGGUCAUCCGAACUUCUCAAACGGCGCGGAAUCCUGGACGAAGAUUUUACAGAUGUCCGGUAGGCGGAAAACAUCCGGGAUGUUUUAUUUGGUUGGACCUAGUAUCGAGGAAUUAUACUGAGACUGUAGACACAGGAACAUGUUAUUCAACAGAAAGUGUUAAUAGGAACACACGGGUCAUCUCAGCUAUUCGUCAACCCUCCUAUAGUCAACAAGUGCGGAAACAAGUACUAGUGGACCAGUCGUUGCUCAACCAUUAUUAUGGUUUAACCAUCUUUCUAUGUAUUUGGGUGUUAAUUCUCUCGUGCUAUGUCUUUUAUGUAACGGCUUUGUAAAUAGUACUAAAGUGGUGUUUCA